AUUGAACGCUGGCGGCAGGCCUAACACAUGCAAGUCGAGCGGCAGCGGGAAAGUAGCUUGCUACUUUUGCCGGCGAGCGGCGGACGGGUGAGUAAUGCCUGGGAAAUUGCCCAGUCGAGGGGGAUAACAGUUGGAAACGACUGCUAAUACCGCAUACGCCCUACGGGGGAAAGCAGGGGACCUUCGGGCCUUGCGCGAUUGGAUAUGCCCAGGUGGGAUUAGCUUGUUGGUGAGGUAAUGGCUCACCAAGGCGACGAUCCCUAGCUGGUCUGAGAGGAUGAUCAGCCACACUGGAACUGAGACACGGUCCAGACUCCUACGGGAGGCAGCAGUGGGGGAAUAUUGGGGCAAUGGUCGCAAGACUGAUCCAGCCAUGCCGCGUGCGGGAAGAAGGCCUUCGGGUUGUAAACCGCUUUG
rnacentral:rRNA from 1 species